rnacentral:rRNA from 1 species
CUUGCAGGGUACUCGAGUGGCGAACGGGUGAGUAACACGUGGGUGAUCUGCCCUGCACUUCGGGAUAAGCUUGGGAAACUGGGUCUAAUACCGGAUAGGAACCAUCUUUAGUGUGGUGGUUGGAAAGUUUUUUCGGUGUAGGGUGAGCUCGCGGCCUAUCAGCUUGUUGGUGGGGUAAUGGCCUACCAAGGCGGCGACGGGUAGCCGGCCUGAGAGGGUGUACGGCCACAUUGGGACUGAGAUACGGCCCAG